AGAUUGAACGCUGGCGGCAGGCCUAACACAUGCAAGUCGAGCGGCAGCACGGGUACUUGUACCUGGUGGCGAGCGGCGGACGGGUGAGUAAUGCCUAGGAAUCUGCCUGAUAGUGGGGGAUAACGCUCGGAAACGGACGCUAAUACCGCAUACGUCCUACGGGAGAAAGCAGGGGACCUUCGGGCCUUGCGCUAUCAGAUGAGCCUAGGUCGGAUUAGCUAGUUGGUGGGUAAUGGCUCACCAAGGCGACGAUCCGUAACUGGUCUGAGAGGAUGAUCAGUCACACUGGAACUGAGACACGGUCCAGACUCCGUACGGGAGCAGCAGUGGGAAUAGUUGGACAAGUGGGACGAAAGCCUGAUCCAGCCAGUGCCGGCGUGUGGUAGAAGAAGGUCGUUACGGUAUUAGUAAAGCUAACGUUUUAAGGUGGGAAGGAAGGCGUAAGUUAACCUAAGUUACGUAUUACGUUGGUUUUAGACCGUUUACGACUAAGAAAUAAGACCGUAACCGG
rnacentral:rRNA from 1 species